CACGUAGGGCGCAAGCGUUGUCCGGAAUUAUUGGGCGUAAAGAGCUCGUAGGCGGACUGUUGCGUCCGCUGUGAAAAGCUGGGGCUUAACCCUGGCCUUGCAGUGGAUACGGGCAGACUAGAGGUAGGUAGGGGAGAAUGGAAUUCCCGGUGUAGCGGUGAAAUGCGCAGAUAUCGGGAGGAACACCGGUGGCGAAGGCGGUUCUCUGGGCCGUAACUGACGCUGAGGAGCGAAAGCGUGGGGAGCGAACAGG
rnacentral:rRNA from 1 species